rnacentral:rRNA from 1 species
CCCUUAGAUGUUCGGGGCCGCACGCGCGCUACACUGAAGGACUCAGCGUGUCUCUCCCCCUAUCCCGAAAGGGAUGGGCAACCCGUUGAACCUCCUUCGUGCUAGGGGUUGGGGUUUGCAAUUAUCCCCCAUGAACGAGGAAUUCCCAGUAAGCGCGAGUCAUCAGCUCGCGUUGAUUACGUCCCUGCCCUUUGUACACACCGCCCGUCGCUACUACCGAUUGGAUGGUUUAGUGAGACCCUCGGAUCGGUCCCGACUCGGGGUGGGCUUCUGCCCCGGUCGUGGUUUCGCCGAGAAGACGGUCAAACUUGACUAUCUAGAGGAAGUAAAAGUCGUAACA